GGAAAGAGGCCGCCCGCCCAGGCUUGGGGUGGACCUAGGGCUGUCCCCCUGCAGUUUAGGGCUGCGCGUGGCACCUCUGCUGCUGGGGCCGCAGACCGGCAGGGCUGCACCGGGGCGGGCGUCCCCUGGUUUGUGCCAGACUGCCCAGCAGCCUCCUGAAGCCACAGGAGACCACUCGGGCAUGAAAGGCAGGCUUCCGUGUCUGUCCUGCGUGGGCAGCCGGGCUGUCGCGGAGGCAGUGCAAACGCGAGUCCGCGGGGCGGUGGCGCGGGCUGCGUGGCCGUCGGGGUGACGCUGAGAUGAGCCGCAGAACCCGAGGCCACGUGAGGCUUCCUCCCGCUCCAUCAAAACCGCGCGGGCUCCCCGCGGCCGCCAGGGGCCGCUAUGGAAUAGGAAACGGAUUCGCAGCUCGGGUGUGGAAGGGGAAAUAAAGGCAGAGAAGCUGAUCUUCAGGGGAAAGAAGGAAGUGGGCUGAAAACGCGCAGCUACCAAGAGUGCACCGUGCGGGGCGAGAAGGGAAGGGGUGACCCCAGCCGGAAGCAGAAACACACUGGGGAAGAAGGAGACGGCAGUCAGGAGUCAACUACCAUGUUGUCGCUGAGACCUAACAGGAGAGAGACGCCCUGCAGAGGACGGCGUGGUGCAGAGUCCACGGGCCCGGUGUGGAUCCAGCUGGAGCAGCCAUACUGAACCACAAGGUGGUCUUGGAACUGAAGGCCACAUACGGAACAGCAAGGAGAAGAAGGAGCCUGAGUGUUUGAGAACUUUGUGGAGCAGCCCUGAGUUGUCUAGCUCCGGACUUUUAC
rnacentral:lncRNA from 1 species